CAACUACUCCCUCUGUCCAAAAUUUCUUGUCUUAGAUUUGUCUAGAUACGGAUGUAUCUAAUACUAAAAUGUGACUUGAUACAUCCGUAUCUAGACAAAUCUAAGACAAGAAAUUUGGGACAGAGGGAGUAGUUG
rnacentral:pre_miRNA from 1 species